rnacentral:rRNA from 1 species
GACGAACGCUGGCGGCGUGCUUAACACAUGCAAGUCGAACGGUAAGGCCCUUCGGGGUACACGAGUGGCGAACGGGUGAGUAACACGUGGGUGAUCUGCCCUGCACUUCGGGAUAAGCCUGGGAAACUGGGUCUAAUACCGGAUAGGACCCUGGGAUGCAUGUCCUGGGGUGGAAAGCUUUUGCGGUGUGGGAUGGGCCCGCGGCCUAUCAGCUUGUUGGUGGGGUGAUGGCCUACCAAGGCGACGACGGGUAGCCGGCCGGAGAGGGUGACCGGCCACACGGGGACUGAGAUACGGCCCAGACUCCUACGGGAGGCAGCAGUGGGGAAUAUUGCACAAUGGGCGCAAGCCUGAUGCAGCGACGCCGCGUGAGGGAUGACGGCCUUCGGGUUGUAAACCUCUUUCAGCACCGACGAAGCGCAAGUGACGGUAGGUGCAGAAGAAGGACCGGCCAACUACGUGCCAGCCGCCGCGGUAA